rnacentral:rRNA from 1 species
AUCAACGCUGGCGGCGUGCCUAACACAUGCAAGUCGAACGAGAAGGUGACUUCGGUCACUGGAUAGUGGCGUCCGGGUGAGUAACACGUAGGUAAUCUACCUUCGGGUGGGGAAUAACGUCUCGAAAGAGACGCUAAUACCGCAUAAUGCAGCGGCACCUAAUGGUGAUUAGUUGUUAAAGCGGGGGAUCUUCGGACCUCGCGCCUGAAGAGGAGCCUGCGGCAGAUUAGCAGUUGGUGAGGUAAUGGCUCACCAAGGCUUCGAUCUGUAGCUGGUCUGAGAGGACGGCCAGCCACACUGGCACUGACACACGGGCCAGACUCCUACGGGAGGCAGCAGUGGGGAAUUUUGGGCAAUGGGCGAAAGCCUGACCCAGCAACGCCGCGUGAAGGAGGAAAUCCUUCGGGAUGUAAACUUCAUAAGUAAGGGAAGAAAGCUGCGGAUCGAAUAAGUCCGCAGUCCGACGGUACCUUACGUAAGCCACGGCUAACUACGUGCCAGCA